AUAUAUACUAAUCCAUGCAGAGACAUUCUUCCAUGUUUAUUUCUACAUCUAUCUGCCUAUAAAUAUAUGAACAAUUUUGAGUUAACACAAUUAGAGUUAAUCUCUGAUUCUAAUCUAAUACAACAGAGAUCACUCUAGCCUCCCACUUUCACUGUGAAUUUUUCUCUAACAGUGAAAAAUUUGGCUCUCAUUAUCUACAAUGUAUUUAUUUACUUGUUCAGUCCUGGUACACAAAUCAAAUUUUACAAAGUUGAUACCCUUACCCCUAUGGGAAACUGAUUUACUAAACAGUGUGAAAUAAUUGCAUACAAUUAUUUUUGCCUCAUGGUGUCUCAAUUUUUUUUUCCAAAACUAUUUUUGUUCUUUAUUUUCUUCUCCAUUCCAUUCAAUGUGGUUGUGUUAUGCAUUUAUAACAUAACUAGGUUGAUUUGUUACUCAUAUGUUUACCUAUAUCCUAGAUUAUUUUUAAAUUAAUUUUAAAAAUUGUAUGUCAUUAAUUUUGCAGGGGCUAUGAAAAUUGGUAUAGUUCUAAAAAGCAGAAGGAUAAAGAAAGUUAUACUUGGAGAAGUGUGUUCCCAUUACAUCCUUACUACCCUAUCCCCUGCUUCUGGUUUACCUUUCUAUAUUUCUUUUGCAGAUAUGUAAAUGAGCAGAUACCUGUUUAUUUUCUUAUAUGUUUUUCUUCCUUAUAAGAAUGGUAGCUACUAUUAAUACUCUUGUAAUUUGCUUCCUUAUUUAACAAAUUUUUCUGAAAACCAUUCCAACUCAGUUCAUAGAGAUCUUCCUCAUUUUCUUAUACAGCUGCAAGGUACCUGGUGGUGUUGCUCUAACAUAAUAUAGUCAAUGACAUUCCUACGUAAGAGCAUUAGGUUGUUUCCAAUAUUUUGCAACUAAAGUAGCAUUGCAAUGGAUAACCUUGUGUAGGAGUUCCUAUUGUGGCUCAGCGGAUUAAGAAUCUGACUGGUAUCCACUGGAAUAUGGGUUUGAUCCAUGGCCUCGCCCAUGGGUUAAGGAUCCAGCAUUGCCAUGCGCUGUGGUGUAGGUCACAGAAGCAGCUAGGACCUGGCAUUGCUGUGGCAGCUGCAAUUCCAAUUCAACCCCCAGCCUGGGACUUUCCAUAUGUUGUAGGUGUGACCUUAAAAAGCAAAAAAAAAAAA
rnacentral:lncRNA from 1 species